rnacentral:lncRNA from 1 species
UUGUUUCUUUCUUUCUUUUUUCUUUCUUUUUUCUUUCUUUUUUCUUUCUUUUAAUUUCUUUUGAUUUCUUUUGAUUUUUUGAUUUUGCACCCUCCUCUUUCUUUUUUUUCUUUUUUUUUAAAUGCCCCAGUUGGCUGUUCUGCUGAUUCUCGAGAUGCAGCUGAGUGAUCUUCUUUUCUUGCUCAAGGAGUCGGGAAAUCUCGUCAGGAAUCCCUUCAACAUCAUCUUCUUCCGCUUCAAAUACAGGGAAUUCAAAAUUGGGAGAUGACGUCGGAUCACUAUGUUCAAUGGGUUUAAG